rnacentral:rRNA from 1 species
GACGAACGCUGGCGGCGUGCCUAAUACAUGCAAGUCGAACGAGAGCGACCGGUGCUUGCACUGGUCAAUCUAGUGGCGAACGGGUGAGUAACACGUGGGUAACCUGCCCAUCAGAGGGGGAUAACAUCCGGAAACGGAUGCUAAAACCGCAUAGGUCUUCGAACCGCAUGGUUUGAAGAGGACAAGAGGCGCAAGCUUCUGCUGAUGGAUGGACCCGCGGUGCAUUAGCUAGUUGGUGAGGUAACGGCUCACCAAGGCCGUGAUGCAUAGCCGACCUGAGAGGGUGAUCGGCCACAGUGGGACUGAGACACGGCCCAAACUCCUACGGGAGGCAGCAGUAGGGAAUCUUCCGAAAUGGACGCAAGUCUGACGGAGCAACGCCGCGUGAGUGAAGAAGGUUUUCGGAUCGUAAAACUCUGUUGUUAGAGAAGAACAAGUGCUAGAGUAACUGUUAGCGCCUUGACGGUAUCUAACCAGAAAGCCACGGCUAACUACGUG